CAAAGACUGUUUUUAGAGUUUUUAAGGCAUUAAAUUGGGCUGGAGACAAUACUUCAUGAGAAAUUAUCUUUGAUAAUGCAGCAUGAGAGACUAAAAUUGUACCAUGACCAUUUGCUUCAAAAAAUACUCCAACAUCGUAAGCUUGAGCAGCAUGGUAAAGAUGCUUAAGACCGGGAGACACACAUAAAACCGGUACCUUUAAAGUUUUUUGGAAAAAUGCCGUGCUGGCUCCAUUUGCAUAAGCAGUCUGAACAAUACCAACUUGAAGGUCCAAACCAGUAGAACGGAUUAGGUCGAUUAGAAAUUGGGCAAAUAAAGCGCAUAUUUUGUCACCAUCUAACAGAUGAAAGCUGUGAGAGCCAAACGCAAAAUACACAAUUCGAUCAGCAUCCCCGUCAAAAGAGGCACAACGGGCAUGUUUUGGGGCACUAAUACCGUUUGGAGGCUUUUGCUGAGUCCUUACAAAAUCCGCUCCACACUAGUAAAUUAGCAUGCAAUUGUAAACAAUGUAUCAAAAAAACUUACCGAGUUAUUCAACAGUUCAGGAUUAUCAAUAUUGUCGUUUACGAUUUCGAUAGGAAACAGCUUUGGA